UCUGCUUUUAUUAUUUUGCAUACUGUUUAUUUGAAAAAAAAAUAUAUAUAUAUUACAAUUACAGAUCUGAUCAGCCAGCCUACAGUGUCUCCCCCAACCCAAAUCACCAUGUCUUGAAUUUUGGGUAGUUUAAGUGAUUCCUUCCUUUGCCUGUUAAUUUUAUCCAGACAGGGGAUGUAACUUGGUCUGAAAGCUCUAGCAUAUAUAAGGCUCUGGGUUCAACUCCAGUCUCUCACACACUCUGGAUUCAACUCCAACCCCCCUCCCCCCACCUCACACACACACACACACACAAAUAAAAAAUGUAUGCCCAGUUUAGUUUUCUUAAUAGAAUAAACAGUGUUUGGUCUUUUUUGGUUUUUUGAGACAGGAUCUAACUGUGUAGACCUGUCUGGCCUGCAUCUCACUAUAUAGAAAGACCGUGCUGCCCUCUAACUCACAGACUUCCCCCUCUCACGUGCUAGGAUUAAAUGCAUGCAUACCAUUCCCAGUUUCAACCUAAUUUUUUUUNNNNNNUUUUC
rnacentral:lncRNA from 1 species